AGCUUUGUGCUGUAGCAGUAUCGCAGCUAAUGGGGUUUAUCCGAGUCACAAUUACUGCUAAGUCAAAAAUUAGUCUUCAAUAUUUAUAGCUUUAUCUAAAGAAUUUGGUUUUUGGCAUAAUAGUAUAAUU
rnacentral:snRNA from 1 species